rnacentral:misc_RNA from 1 species
AAGUCGUAACAAGGUCUCCGUAGGUGAACCUGCGGAGGGAUCAUUAACACUAUUUGGCUUGUCACAAUUUGUUUCACGACAAUAUUGAGUCAAGUUCAAAUUUCCACACACAUUGCGAACUUGUUGGUUUCUCUUCUCGUCAAACAGAAGAGAGCUGACCUAUACAAAACUGCCUCGAAGGUAAGGUUGCCGACGCGACGCAGUGAACGACCAUUCAUUCUUUUUGGAAUGUAUGAUUCGUAGCUCCGCUUCCGUCCUUCGACGUGGUUCUUUUGGGAGAUGUCACACUGCAGAUGUCUCGGCCCCCCGUUGCCAUCACCUUUAAACCAAUCGACUAAUUGAAAAAAGAUUAACGGAAACGUUUGAUCUUUGAAAUAUCUAAAACUAAGCACAACUCUUAGCAACGGAUAUCUUGGUUCUC